rnacentral:rRNA from 1 species
GAUGAACGCUGGCGGCGUGCCUAAUACAUGCAAGUCGAACGCUUCUCCUCGGUGAAGAGUGGCGAACGGGUGAGUAAUACAUAAGUAACCUGGCAUCUACAGGGGGAUAACUGAUGGAAACGUCAGCUAAGACCGCAUAGGUGUAGAGAUCGCAUGAACUCUAUAUGAAAAGUGCUACGGGACUGGUAGAUGAUGGACUUAUGGCGCAUUAGCUGGUUGGUAGGGUAACGGCCUACCAAGGCGACGAUGCGUAGCCGACCUGAGAGGGUGACCGGCCACACUGGGACUGAGACACGGCCCAGACUCCUACGGGGGGCAGCAGUAGGGAAUUUUCGGCAAUGGGGGAAACCCUAACCGAGCAACGCCGCGUGAAGGAAGAAGUAAUUCGUUAUGUAAACUUCUGUCAUAGAGGAAGAACGGUGGAUAUAGGGAAUGAUAUCCAAGUGACGGUACUCUAUAAGAAAGCCACGGCUAACUACGUGCCAGCCGCCGCGGUAA